GUAAGGUCUUGCGACGUCAUGCCAACAAGGCGACGGGCCAGCGAUCGUCUUACGGUCGCUUCAUGUGUCCUAGCCAAACGGAACCCCGCUUACGGUGCAAAAUGGAAUUAACCAUAUCAAAAGAAAAAAAAAGAGAAACUCUGAUCGGCAAUCCCAGCGUGCUUCCUGAGCAGCCGUGUAACAUAACCUAACAUAACCUAAGAAAAAGCGCGCUAAAACUACUAGCAGUCCCCACAAAUGUGUUGCGUAUUUCAUAAUAAAUUGAUGUACCCGCGUAGAUUUCUAGCGAGAAGUGCGAAAAUUCGGGAAAAAAAACAAAGUACAAUUUGGAGUCUACGACAAAUAGAGAAGGUGAAAAAAAACUACGGAUAUAAAAUUGUGAACGUUGUGCGGCAGGGAAAAC